AACGAACGCUGGCGGCAUGCCUAACACAUGCAAGUCGAACGAGACCUUCGGGUCUAGUGGCGCACGGGUGCGUAACGCGUGGGAACCUGCCCUUAGGUUCGGAAUAACUCCCCGAAAGGGGUGCUAAUACCGGAUAAUGUCUUCGGACCAAAGAUUUAUCGCCUUUGGAUGGGCCCGCGUUGGAUUAGCUAGUUGGUAUGGUAAAAGCCUACCAAGGCGACGAUCCAUAGCUGGUCUGAGAGGAUGAUCAGCCACACUGGGACUGAGACACGGCCCAGACUACUACGCGAUGGAGCAGUGGGGAAUAUUGGACAAUGGGCGAAAGCAUGAACCAGCAAUGCCGCGUGAGUGAUGAAGGCCGUAGAGUAGUAAAGCUCUUUUACCCGCGAUGAUAAUGACAGUACCGGGAGAAUAAGCACCGGCUAACUUCGUG
rnacentral:rRNA from 1 species